CCAUAUGCCUGUAAGCAGGGCAUGUUUUACAGCUACAUAGGAUAGGGGUUAACAAAGUUAUUAGAGCACUUACUCUUUAACAAGAAAGGAAACUUUAAAAAGGAACUUUUCUACUUCCCACAGAAAUUAUUCA